rnacentral:misc_RNA from 1 species
GAUGAAGAACGCAGCGAAAUGCGAUACGUAAUGUGAAUUGCAGAAUUCAGUGAAUCAUCGAGUCUUUGAACGCACAUUGCGCCCCCUGGUAUUCCGGGGGGCAUGCCUGUCCGAGCGUCAUUGCUGCCCUCAAGCACGGCUUGUGUGUUGGGCCUCCGUCCUCCUCCCGGGGGACGGGCCCGAAAGGCAGCGGCGACACCGCGUCCGGUCCUCGAGCGUAUGGGGCUUCGUCACCCGCUCUUGUAGGCCCGGCCGGCGCUUGCCGACACAUCAAUCUUUUUUCCAGGUUGACCUCGGAUCAGGUAGGAAUACCCGCUGAACUUAAGCAUAUCAAUAAGCGGAGGA